rnacentral:miRNA from 1 species
GUUUGUGUGUGUGUGUGUGUGUGUGUGUGUGUGUGUCUGUGUGUGUAAAUAUAUAUAUAUAUACACACACAGACACACACACACACAUUUAUAUACACAUA